rnacentral:rRNA from 1 species
UACGUAGGGUGCAAGCGUUGUCCGGAAUUAUUGGGCGUAAAGAGCUCGUAGGCGGUUUGUCGCGUCUGCUGUGAAAUCCGGAGGCUCAACCUCCGGCCUGCAGUGGGUACGGGCAGACUAGAGUGCGGUAGGGGAGAUUGGAAUUCCUGGUGUAGCGGUGAAAUGCGCAGAUAUCAGGAGGAACACCGAUGGCGAAGGCAGGUCUCUGGGCAUUAACUGACGCUGAGGAGCGAAAGCAUGGGGAGCGAACAGG